rnacentral:rRNA from 1 species
GACGAACGCUGGCGGCGUGCCUAAUACAUGCAAGUCGAGCGGAGCGGCGGAUGGGUGAGUAACGCGUGGGUAACCUGCCCUUAAGUUUGGGAUACCAGUUGGAACCAGAUGCUAAUACCGGAUACUAAAGGAUGGGCUUGCGAUGCGUUAGCGAGUUGGUAAGGUAACGGCUUACCAAGGCGAUGAUGCCUAGCCGGGUUGAGAGACUGAUCGGCCACAUUGGGACUGAGACACGGUCCAAACUCCUACGGGAGGCAGCAGUAGGGAAUAUUCCACAAUGGGCGAAAGCCUGAUGCAGCAACGCCGCGUGAGUGAAGAAGGUUUUCGGAUCGUAAAGCUCUGUUGUUGGUGAGGCGGUAAUCAACCAGAAAGUCACGGCUAACUACGUGCCAGCAGCCGCGGUAAUAC